UAACGGCGAGUGAAGUGGGAAAAGCUCAACUUUGUAAUCUGGCAGCUUCGCUGUCCGAGUUGUAGUCUCGAGAAGUGUUUUCCGCGCUGGAUCGUGUAUGAGUCUGUUGGAAUACAGCGUCAUAGAGGGUGAGAACCCCGUUCGUGACACGACUACCAGUGCUUUGUGAUACAUUUUCGAUGAGUCGAGUUGUUUGGGAAUGCAGCUCAAAUUGGGUGGUAAAUUCCAUCUAAAGCUAAAUAUUGGCGAGAGACCGAUAGCAAACAAGUACCGUGAGGGAAAGAUGAAAAGCACUUUGGAAAGAGAGUUAACAGUACGUGAAAUUGUUGAAAGGGAAACGUUUGAAGUCAGACGUGCGUUGUGCGAUUCAGCUCCGGUUCGCCGGAGUGUAUUUCGUACUAUUGCAGGCCAGCAUCGGUUUGGCGAGCCGGAUAAAGGUUAGAGAAAGGUAGCGGUCCAGGCCGUGUUAUAGUCUUUAACUGAAUACGGAUUGCUAGACCGAGGGACGCAGCGCGCCGCAAGGCAAAGCUUUCGGGCUUUUCGCGCUUAGGAUGCUGGUGAAAUGGCUUUAAAUGACCCGUCUUGAAACACGGACCAAGGAGUCUAACAUGCUUGCGAGUGUUUGGGUGUCAAACCCAUACGCGUAAUGAAAGUGAAUGGAGGUGGGAUCCUUUACCGGAGCACCAUCGACCGAUCCGGAUUUUUAAUGAUGGAUUUGAGUAAGAGCACGUAUGUUGGGACCCGAAAGAUGGUGAACUAUGCCUGAAUAGGGUGAAGCCAGAGGAAACUCUGGUGGAGGCUCGUAGCGGUUCUGACGUGCAAAUCGAUC
rnacentral:rRNA from 1 species